GUUAUAUGGUCAAGUGAAGAAGCGCAUACGGUGGAUGCCUUGGCAGUCAGAGGCGAUGAAAGACGUGGUAGCCUGCGAAAAGCUUCGGGGAGUCGGCAAACAGACUGUGAUCCGGAGAUAUCUGAAUGGGGGAACCCAGCCAUCAUAAGAUGGUUAUCUUGUACUGAAUACAUAGGUGCAAGAGGCGAACCAGGGGAACUGAAACAUCUAAGUACCCUGAGGAAAAGAAAUCAACCGAGAUUCCCUUAGUAGUGGCGAGCGAACGGGGACCAGCCCUUAAGUUGUAUUGAGAUUAGCGGAACGUUCUGGAAAGGACGGCCAUAGUGGGUGAUAGCCCUGUACGCGAAAAUCCCUUUGCAAUGAAAUCGAGUAGGACGGGGCACGAGAAACCUUGUCUGAAUAUGGGGGGACCAUCCUCCAAGGCUAAAUACUACUGACUGACCGAUAGUGAACCAGUACCGUGAGGGAAAGGCGAAAAGAACCGCGGAGAGCGGAGUGAAAUAGAUCCUGAAACCGUAUGCGUACAAGCAGUGGGAGCCCACUUUGUUGGGUGACUGCGUACCUUUUGUAUAAUGGGUCAGCGACUUAUUUUCAGUGGCGAGCUUAACCGAAUAGGGGAGGCGUAGCGAAAGCGAGUCUUAAUAGGGCGUCUAGUCGCUGGGAAUAGACCCGAAACCGGGCGAUCUAUCCAUGGGCAGGUUGAAGGUUGGGUAACACUAACUGGAGGACCGAACCGACUACCGUUGAAAAGUUAGCGGAUGACCUGUGGAUCGGAGUGAAAGGCUAAUCAAGCUCGGAGAUAGCUGGUUCUCCUCGAAAGCUAUUUAGGUAGCGCCUCAUGUAUCACUGUAGGGGGUAGAGCACUGUUUCGGCUAGGGGGUCAUCCCGACUUACCAAACCGAUGCAAACUCCGAAUACCUACAAGUGCCGAGCAUGGGAGACACACGGCGGGUGCUAACGUCCGUCGUGAAAAGGGAAACAACCCAGACCGUCAGCUAAGGUCCCAAAGUCAUGGUUAAGUGGGAAACGAUGUGGGAAGGCUUAGACAGCUAGGAGGUUGGCUUAGAAGCAGCCACCCUUUAAAGAAAGCGUAAUAGCUCACUAGUCGAGUCGGCCUGCGCGGAAGAUGUAACGGGGCUCAAACCAUGCACCGAAGCUACGGGUAUCAUCUUAGGAUGAUGCGGUAGAGGAGCGUUCUGUAAGCCUGUGAAGGUGAGUUGAGAAGCUUGCUGGAGGUAUCAGAAGUGCGAAUGCUGACAUGAGUAACGACAAUGGGUGUGAAAAACACCCACGCCGAAAGACCAAGGUUUCCUGCGCAACGUUAAUCGACGCAGGGUUAGUCGGUCCCUAAGGCGAGGCUGAAAAGCGUAGUCGAUGGAAAACAGGUUAAUAUUCCUGUACUUCUGGUUAUUGCGAUGGAGGGACGGAGAAGGCUAGGCCAGCCUGGCGUUGGUUGUCCAGGUUUAAGGUGGUAGGCUGAGAUCUUAGGUAAAUCCGGGAUCUUAAGGCCGAGAGCUGAUGACGAGUGUUCUUUUAGAACACGAAGUGGUUGAUGCCAUGCUUCCAAGAAAAGCUUCUAAGCUUCAGGUAACCAGGAACCGUACCCCAAACCGACACAGGUGGUUGGGUAGAGAAUACCAAGGCGCUUGAGAGAACUCGGGUGAAGGAACUAGGCAAAAUGGCACCGUAACUUCGGGAGAAGGUGCGCCGGUGGAGGUGAAGCAUUUACUGCGUAAGCCCCUGCCGGUCGAAGAUACCAGGCCGCUGCGACUGUUUAUUAAAAACACAGCACUCUGCAAACACGAAAGUGGACGUAUAGGGUGUGACGCCUGCCCGGUGCCGGAAGGUUAAUUGAUGGGGUUAGCGCAAGCGAAGCUCUUGAUCGAAGCCCCGGUAAACGGCGGCCGUAACUAUAACGGUCCUAAGGUAGCGAAAUUCCUUGUCGGGUAAGUUCCGACCUGCACGAAUGGCGUAACGAUGGCGGCGCUGUCUCCACCCGAGACUCAGUGAAAUUGAAAUCGCUGUGAAGAUGCAGUGUAUCCGCGGCUAGACGGAAAGACCCCGUGAACCUUUACUAUAGCUUUGCACUGGACUUUGAAUUUGCUUGUGUAGGAUAGGUGGGAGGCUUUGAAGCGUGGACGCCAGUCUGCGUGGAGCCAACCUUGAAAUACCACCCUGGCAACUUUGAGGUUCUAACUCAGGUCCGUUAUCCGGGUCGAGGACAGUGUAUGGUGGGUAGUUUGACUGGGGCGGUCUCCUCCUAAAGAGUAACGGAGGAGUACGAAGGUGCGCUCAGACCGGUCGGAAAUCGGUCGUAGAGUAUAAAGGCAAAAGCGCGCUUGACUGCGAGACAGACACGUCGAGCAGGUACGAAAGUAGGUCUUAGUGAUCCGGUGGUUCUGUAUGGAAGGGCCAUCGCUCAACGGAUAAAAGGUACUCCGGGGAUAACAGGCUGAUACCGCCCAAGAGUUCAUAUCGACGGCGGUGUUUGGCACCUCGAUGUCGGCUCAUCACAUCCUGGGGCUGAAGCCGGUCCCAAGGGUAUGGCUGUUCGCCAUUUAAAGUGGUACGCGAGCUGGGUUUAGAACGUCGUGAGACAGUUCGGUCCCUAUCUGCCGUGGACGUUUGAGAUUUGAGAGGGGCUGCUCCUAGUACGAGAGGACCGGAGUGGACGAACCUCUGGUGUUCCGGUUGUCACGCCAGUGGCAUUGCCGGGUAGCUAUGUUCGGAAAAGAUAACCGCUGAAAGCAUCUAAGCGGGAAACUUGCCUCAAGAUGAGAUCUCACUGGAACCUUGAGUUCCCUAAAGGGCCGUCGAAGACUACGACGUUGAUAGGUUGGGUGUGUAAGCGCUGUGAGGCGUUGAGCUAACCAAUACUAAUUGCCCGUGAGGCUUGACCAUAUAACACCCAAGCAAUU
rnacentral:rRNA from 1 species